rnacentral:rRNA from 1 species
UACGAAGGGUGCAAGCGUUACUCGGAAUUACUGGGCGUAAAGCGUGCGUAGGCGGUCUCUUAAGUCCGUUGUGAAAGCCCUGGGCUCAACCUGGGAACUGCAGUGGAUACUGAGAAGCUAGAGUGUGUCAGAGGAUGGUGGAAUUCCUGGUGUAGCGGUGAAAUGCGUAGAUAUCAGGAGGAACACCUGUGGCGAAAGCGGCUCACUGGACCAUAACUGACGCUGAUGCACGAAAGCUAGGGGAGCAAACAGG